CGAAAGCCUGAUGCAGCAACGCCGCGUGCGGGAAGAAGGCCCUAGGGUUGUAAACCGCUUUCAGCAGGGAAGAAACUGACGGUACCUGUAGAAGAAGGUGCGGCCAACUACGUGCCAGCAGCCGCGGUGACACGUAGGCACCAAGCGUUGUCCGGAUUUAUUGGGCGUAAAGAGCUCGUAGGCGGUUCGGUAAGUCGGGUGUGAAAACUCUGGGCUCAACCCAGAGCCGCCACCUGAUACUGCUGUGACUCGAGUGCGGUAGGGGAGCGGGGAAUUCCUGGUGUAGCGGUGAAAUGCGCAGAUAUCAGGAGGAACACCAGUGGCGAAGGCGCCGCUCUGGGCCGUGACUGACGCUGAGGAGCGAAAGCGUGGGUAGCAAACAGGAUUAGAUACCCUGGUAGUCCACGCCGUAAACGUUGGGCACUAGGUGUGGGUCUCAACCAACGAGAUCCGCGCCGUCGCUAACGCAUUAAGUGCCCCGCCUGGGGAGUACGGUCGCAAGACUA
rnacentral:rRNA from 1 species